rnacentral:lncRNA from 1 species
AUUUUUUUUCAGGAGUGCCUCCUCGACCUCCACUGCGGCAAAAAGCAGAAAGACGGCGAUGAUUGGUGGUCCCUGGAGACCCGCUUCCCGAAGAACAAGUGGACGGCAGCGAAGGCGUUCUUCUCCGAAACGGACACGACCAAUUCUCAGUCCGCGGAGGAAUGAGGAACCAAAGUUCACUAUCGGAAGGUGCAAACACUCGCUCGAGCGUUUGCACAGACACGAACAUAAGUGUAAGACCCACAGCUUGUACAGUAUAGGAGCCGGCUGGGAAUGACCGUCUCGUCGGCUUAGCUAGAUUAGCCGUCUUUGUUCAUUAGCAGUGUGUAAACAAUGUCAGUAAGGUGAGCCAGUGUCAAAUUUGACAAAAAAAAAAAAAAAACAAGUAUAUGGCAGGCCUUAUACACCGUUCUUUUUCGGGUUAAUCAUCUGGUGAUGUAAGCAUAAGCUCAGUAAUGGCAACCCUCUCAUCACUUUCCGUGCUUGUUUAGUCUGUCAGAUGCGCCUGAAUACUGGUUGUCCGCUUGAAUCUGCUGUUGCUACAUUACAAGGCUCUGUCAUACCUCGUAAAAGAACACAUUGCGGUCCCGUCCAGGAAUAUUGACAGUGUUGAUGCAGUUGUUCUAAUGUAGACUUUUAUUUCGUUUAUUUAGAGUGCACAGCAUACACACAUGAAAUAAGUAGUGUUGGUUAGUUUUCCGUCACGUCCUGGCCAAGCCAAUUGUUCAGUAUUUUACUUUGUUGUUGUCAAAAUUCAUAUUUAGCGGUUUUCAAAAUUUUUUUGUUACAUUGUUUGCUACUCCGGUAGCGUUGUUGCUUGCAUUCUUUUGUUGGUUUACAUUCGUGCGUGUGAAACGUGAUUAGGCAACUUAAUAGCAACGCAAUCGCACUGUUGUAUGCACAUGUAGAUAUUAUUUAUUUAUUUUUUUGGUUAUUUAUAUACUUUGGUAACAAUUCUAACGUUAUUGUGUCCUUCACUUGAGAUGUUCGGUGAAGGAAAUACUGCGGAAAGGUGGAAUCAGGUGUUAAGAUGUGAUGCUUGCUCAGCUGCAUUUUUAUAGCCGUAAGUCUAGAAAAUCAUCAAGGAUAGACUUACUGGCCUAUACAGCAUUUAUGCACUUGCUAGUGGAACCAGUUGAGCUUCAGGUUUCUAAGUUACGAGGUACAUUUGAGAACGACCUGUACAUGCUCACAGUUCACCUCUUCGUUGAUUUUACACGUCCUUGCGGUUUUUCAGGGUAUAGAAGACAUCGAUGUGCCGGUGAUUUGUUAUGGACUGUGUAUCUUCGCGAGCAUCGCGAAGGAGACACAAGAACUUGCAUUCAAAAAGACGUAGUGAUGCGGGAUUUACGUGGAACUUAGUCCCCGUGGAGAUUAUGUUUACGCGACUCUGAGGUUCUUGGUGCGUAAUAAUCCUUACUUAUAAAUAAACUCAGUGUGUUUUUUUUUCGUAUGACGCACCGGUGCGCAGCAUCUGUGCCCUAUUGCAACCGAUGAGUAUUCCCAAUUGACUCGUUACGAGAAAAUUAUUGUGCAGUGGCGCACUAACCGCUGCGGUUUAGCUACUCUUGUUUAGGAAUCACGAAGGCUCACAACAGCGCGCACAUAUAAAACGCACGUAGCCGCCACUAUCGUCGAUCUAACGUCAAUCUGCACAACUCUAGCAUCGACUUCCCUGCAGUAUCAAUGGCAAUGCGGCAGAGCCGAACGCGGAGUGACAGUGGUCGUUAAACUUGUCGAGCCGUAGGGAGACCGCAUGCUGUUUGAAAAUGAUUUUUUGUUCUCUAUUUUUGCUUUGGCAGCUCACUUGCAACGGGGUUUUCUUUCUUUUUCCCUCGUCUCAUUUGACGGUUAACGCACAUGUGAUCACUGUAUUAGUGUGAAUAAUGUGAACUUACCUCUAUUCAAUAAAAUGAAUAUUCCUAUAA